UUAGUCAAUAUAUUAACUAGUUGACAAUUUUUCUUAUAAUGCCGUAUAUUUAGGAGUAGCCACAACAUCUUAAGUAUAUUGGUGUUUGGAGAAAUUUUGUAUUUCUUUUUCACAUAUUGCUAAGUGAUUAAAGAAAUUAAAAAAAAAUGGCAUCUAUAUCAAGUUGCAAUUAAUUCAUUGAGAUAGUUAUCCGGGCCCACAGGGAGGUAAUUAUUUUGGUGAGAUUAAGAGAUAUUUCUAUGCUCACAAGUACGAAUUAUUUCUUUAAUUCAUUGUUCUAGAUUACUAGUCUUAUGAUUAAGUAAAGUAAAUUCUAUGCAUUUUACAACCUUUUUCCAUAGAAAGGUUUGAAUUUACUAUUUGAAUUGACAUAAGGUUGAUUCAAAAUCAAGGUACAAAUUUCAUAGCUUUUUUAUGAUAUAGUUCUUGAUUGUUAAUUCAGUAUUUCAUUCCAAUGAUUUUAUGGUUCUUUUUUUUUUGACAAACGAUAAUGUUUUUAUAGAUAUUAACACUUGAUAGUACAAGGGCUAAUUACAAAAAAGGGUAACUACCCCAUAUCUUUCCUAGCUAAAGCUGAAAGCCAAGUUGGGAAUGUACCUUCUCAUUCAAAACUUCUAGUUGCCUUGACUACGAAUUGAGCCAAUUCAUGGCUACAACUAUUAGCAGUUCUGGGAACAAAAGAGAAAGUGCAACUUUCAAAUCUUUUCUUCAGGACAUCAAUGUCAUCCAGGAGUGUUUGGAGUCUACAUUCCUGAACAUUGUCCAUAUUGAUGAGGCUCACAACAUACUUGCAGUUAGAUUGGACUUCUAUGUUUGUCCAUCCUGCACCUUGAGCCAUUUCCAGCGCACCUCUGAUUGCUAGAGUUUCCUCUGUGGCGCUUCCCCUUUCCUCCUCUCAGUAAUUCCCUUCGCUUUCACUAUCACCCCGCACCAGUUCCUUGCAAUGAUCCCCAAUCCUGAUCUGACCAUUUUAGCUGAAAUUGCUACGUCCGGUUGAUCAUCAUUGUCCCUUCCUUAGGAGGCUCCCAUCACUGCUGGACCCGUCUCUCUAUUUCUAGACUUGAAUUUUUGUUCUUGUGUCUGAUUCAUACACUACCUCAUACUCGAUCCAUUCCUGCUGUGCCUUGUCUAUUAUUACUUUUGCAUCCACUAACUCACUUUGGAAUGUUAAUUUGUUUCUAGCUUUCCAGAUUUGCCAUAAGAGGUUCACCGUAAGCCUGAUUCUAUCUGCUCCUUGUUUCUCCUUUGAUGAUUGCGUCAUAGCUCCCCACUAUCUCCACAAGUUACCUUGUAGUGUAACUAAGCCCUCCACCUUACAGGAGCUAACUUCCAUAUCACUUUAGCUUUUGGGCAGAAGAAGAAAAUGUGCUCAAUGGUUUCCGUUUCCUCCUCACAGCAGUGACAUAUCAUGUUACUGAUUCCAAAUCUCUUGUAGAGAACUUCAUUUGUGGC
rnacentral:lncRNA from 1 species